AAUAAGUACAGUUUUGCACUAUUCAUCUUCAACGUUUGAUCGUUUGUUUUAUUUGAAAAAAAUUUAUGAUUACUAUAUUUAUUGUUAUUAGAUGAUAAAACAUGAAUAAUACUUUAUGUGUGACUAUUUUUUAAAAAAAAAUUAUAAUUUUUUUAAAUAAGACGGACGGUCAAACGUUGGACACGGAUUUCCACGGUUGCACUUAUU
rnacentral:pre_miRNA from 1 species